rnacentral:rRNA from 1 species
CCUACGGGGGGCAGCAGUUGGGAAUAUUGGACAAUGGAGGAAACUCUGAUCCAGUGACGCCGCGUGAAGGAAGAAGGUCUUCGGAUUGUAAACUUAUUUUGUCAGGGAAGAAAAAAAUGACUGUACCUGAAGAAAAAGCACCGGCUAACUACGUGCCAGCAGCCGCGGUAAUACGUAGGUGGCGAGCGUUAUCCGGAAUGAUUGGGCGUAAAGGGUGCGUAGGCGGCCUGCUAAGUCUGGAGCGAAAGGUACCGGCUCAACCGGUACAGGCUCUGGAAACUGGCGGGCUAGAGAGCAGGAGAGGG